rnacentral:rRNA from 1 species
GAUGAACGCUGGCGGCGUGCCUAAUACAUGCAAGUCGAACGAACAGUCGAGGAGAUUGCUCCUCUGACGUUAGCGUCGCACGGGAGAGUAACACGUGGAUAACCUACCUAUUAGACUACGAUAACCUCGGGAAACCGGAGCUAAUACCGACUAACAUUUUUAACAGCAUAGUUAAACAUAAAAAGACGGUCUUGCGGUCACGUAUAGAUGGAUCCGCGCCGCAUUAGCUAGUUGUUAAGGUAACGGCGUACCAAGGCAACGAGGCGUAACCGACCUGAGCGGGUGAUCGGCCACACUGGAACUGAGACACGGUCCAGACUCCUACGGGAGGCAGCAGGAGGGAAUCUUCCGCAAUGGGCGAAAGCCUGACGGAGCAACGCCGCGUGAGUGAAGAAGGUCUUCGGAUCGUAAAACUCUGUUAUUAGGGAAGAACAAAUGUGUAAGUAACUAUGCACGUCUUGACGGUACCUAAUCAGAAAGCCACGGCUAACUACGUG